AACGGCCGUACCAUGCUGAAUAUACCGGUUCCUGUUAGAUCACCGAAGUCAAGCAUCAUUGGGCGCGGUCAGUACUUGGGUGGGUGACCACCUGGGAACACUGCGUGCCGUU